rnacentral:lncRNA from 1 species
UUUUCUGAUGUAUGUUAUAUUGUCAUUUUUCCCAUCUAUUAUUUAGACCAGUAAGUAAUUCAUAUAGGGACCCCAGUCUCUGGCUACUUCCUAAAUUAUACCUAGAGCAAACAUGGAGAUUACACAGCAAGACAGACAGUCCUGAGUCUCGUGCUGUAACAGCACAGUUACAGUUUCAGACAGCCUGACCAAAAUGCAUGAAUGAAAUGGAAGCUUUCUUUUGAAAAUGUGAUGUCUGGGCACUUUCCCCUGGUUGAACUUAUUUUUCCAAGGAGUGCAUGUUGAGAGAGAAGCUUAGCCUGCUGAUCUUCCUCCAAGACUAAAGAAAGCAUAUCAGUCCAGACAUGAGUUGUCCCAGUGAACAACUUUUCUCACUCUGUCCCGAGCCAUUCUGACCUCUCCCCUCAACCAGCAGAGCCAUCCUGGGCUGAAGCUGUUCCAGCACCCUGGUCUGUAGAGGCCAGAGGUACCCCAUGAUCAAAGCUGCUGUGGCAAACACCUCCCUGGAAUUACAGCAUUCCAAGCAAGCAGACAAGCUUCCUGGUACUCUCAAGAGUUGCUACAUAUGCAAGGAAUAAUGCAAAGUCUCUUUCAUUAGGCUUGGAACAUACCACAACAUGCAGGAAUCCUUCAUUUCCAGCUCCUGUGGAUGGCCUUAGAGAUCCUGCCUGCUUUCUACAAAGAUGAGUGAAGCCAACAGCACAGGUUAAUCCCAGCUGUAAUUUACUGGAAUAACUAACAGGUUGAGGAACUUGUUUGUUUAUCAAUGAGAAGGGAGAAAAAGGAAGCAGUAGCUCCCUAUUUGCCGUGGCUUCGUGGCAAAGGGCAUUAGUUACUGACACACAAAUCACCCAAUUUGCAACUCUCUAAAGUAUAGCUGUAAAAAUCCUUUAGGGAAUUAUCACAGGGUGAAAGGAAUAAUUUUGGCAGUGCUGAUGAAAAAUGUGAUCUCUUUACCUAGAGGCACCUUUGCUGCCAGGCCAUUUCAGCCCAACCCUGACCUGAAGGGCUAAGUUUCUCACAGGAAAUGAGAGCAGAAGUUGGUAUCUGCAGGCUUGAUCUCUUCUGAGUUGCCCAGCUCACAGCAGUGAGUUUUGUUUGCAGUGUUGAAGUCACAACAGAGG